AUCCGUGUUAGAAUAGAAAAUCUCCCGUUGGCGAUAUGGAGAAGAAAUUCCGUGAAAGAAAACCUUCUGUUGAUGGAUCUGAUCUCGUAUGAAAACCCAAUCUGUCUGCGUUCUCCUGUUCCUGGUGAAAACGCGUCUGUUUGUGUUUCUCCGGCCCAUGGAUGAAAUCCAAUCUCGCCUGAUUGGGUUCCGAGGUGCUUGCGUUCUCCUGUUUGGAAGAAAUUGCAAUCCCGUCUGUUCAUGGCGGAAUCAAUAGCUAAGUUGGAUCUACUUUGCCAUUUUUUUUCUUCUUCUUUCCGUGUUUUUUUUUUAUUUCAUUUUCAGUAACUGCCCUAUACCAAAUCUAAUGGAAUAAUUACUAAUGGAAUGAUUAUGGUUUGUAUUAUAUUCCAAUUUGGGAUUUUUUGGCAUGAAAAUUGAUGGAGAAAACGAGAAGUCCGUCUGCUGGUAAAGAGGAGAAGGAACGACUGAAAGUUUUUCCCCUGAAAAUCCGAUCCAAAACGGUCCGAUCCAAAAAAAGACAUUAAGGAUGAACUGAUGAAGAUGAAGAAGAGAGAAUAUAAGAACAAAGAGAGAAGAGAGCACGUGAUUCUUCAACCACGUGGGUCGUUGGUUGGUUCUUUUGUUAACAACCAAGCUAACACGUCACCUUGGGCGCAAAAUGGGGCGUUAUUGAGGGCGCCGUGUAGCAUUGCCGUUUAUAAACAAAGCUACCCACAUCCACAUGUUCCGUGUAUUCUCUGUUUUCUAAGGGCAUGUAAGUAUCACUCGAUUAUGUACAUGCGUAUGUGAAAAUCACUCCAUAUCAGUCCAUCUCAUCAAAUGCUUUAUCCAUGACUCUUUUAUUAUUUUUUGGUCAUCAUAUGUUAAACUCUAUACUAUUAGAAUAUAUAUAGAGGUCAUUCACCAAGUCUU